rnacentral:rRNA from 1 species
UAACAGGAAACAGCUUGCUGUUUCGCUGACGAGUGGCGGACGGGUGAGUAAUGUCUGGGAAACUGCCUGAUGGAGGGGGAUAACUACUGGAAACGGUAGCUAAUACCGCAUAACGUCGCAAGACCAAAGAGGGGGACCCUCGGGCCUCUUGCCAUCGGAUGUGCCCAGAUGGGAUUAGCUUGUUGGUGGGGUAACGGCUCACCAAGGCGACGAUCCCUAGCUGGUCUGAGAGGAUGACCAGCCACACUGGAACUGAGACACGGUCCAGACUCCUACGGGAGGCAGCAGUGGGGAAUAUUGCACAAUGGGCGCAAGCCUGAUGCAGCCAUGCCGCGUGUAUGAAGAAGGCCUUCGGGUUGUAAAGUACUUUCAGCGGGGAGGAAGGGAGUAAAGUUAAUACCUUUGCUCAUUGACGUUACCCGCAGAAGAAGCACCGGCUAACUCCGUGCCAGCAGCCGCGGUAAUACGGAGGGUGCAAGCGUUAAUCGGAAUUACUGGGCGUAAAGCGCACGCAGGCGGUUUGUUAAGUCAGAUGUGAAAUCCCCGGGCUCAACCUGGGAACUGCAUCUGAUACUGGCAAGCUUGAGUCUCGUAGAGGGGGGUAGAAUUCCAGGUGUAGCGGUGAAAUGCGUAGAGAUCUGGAGGAAUACCGGUGGCGAAGGCGGCCCCCUGGACGAAGACUGACGCUCAGGUGCGAAA